ACUUUCUUCAGGGCUAUCAGAUGAAGGCAGCAACGAAAACACCACCACAAGACCAACUUCAGGCUGGAGCUGAUGAUGCCACACAGCGAGAAAAAAGAAAAUAGACUCUACUUAGAAAUGAAACUCAACUAAAGGUAAAAGUUGUCAGGAACAUCUCCAAGAAAGCCAGAGUCAGCCUCUAAACUUUGCAUCAAGAACGCAAUGGCUUCCCUGAGGGCCCAGGGACGCGUGGCAGCUGUGAGGCAGCCCCUUCUCUGCUGUCGAGGAACUGGACACUUCUCCUGUCCCUUCCCACAAGGGGCUUCCUGGAGCUCCUGCAACCCCAGGCAUUAGUUCCGGUGCAGUUCUAGGAUCAGAUCAAUUCACUCGACAACAAGAGAAACAAAUGGAGAUUCCUACACAAAGACUUUCAAGCACAAAGAAAUCCUGCUGCCUGUAAAGCGGAGCUGCCUCAGCCCUUGAUGAACGACAGAAAAUCUCACAUUCCAGGAAUUCAGAUGAAGUGAAGUGCUCUCAUGGGGACCAGGCAUGGUUAUGCCAGUCCACUGCCCUGCAAGCCUCAAGGGAAGCCAACUGCCCUUCAGCAAGUCACACCUGCCUUGGUGGAGGCCUUGAUUGGAAGUGCCACACGCUACAUGUCCAGUCCUGAGCGGGAGAAUCGGUGUAGGGACGUUCUGGGGAUGCCAGCUGUGGCCAGAUCAGGUCCAACUACAGAAGAAUAAUGAAGACUCCACCUGAGGGCUGGAAAAACAAAACCUCAAGUGUGAGGCAGCCAACCUGUUACCUCGAGGGACUGUUCCGCAGCACAGCGGGGCCAUGGGAACAGCAGCAGACACCCCGACCUCCUCGCUACCUAUCAACUAUGGCCUGAGUAUGAUAGACUUAUCCAUGGUUUAAACAGAAUAUAUUGUUUUCAACUUUGAAAAUAAGAAUAUGGAAAUCCAGAUGCAGAAAUGUGAGAAGAAAAGAGAGUAAACAGAGUGGAAGGUCAGGUGACCUUGCCUGUCAUGAAUAUGAAGGUCAAGGCCCCACUGUGAGACGUGAAUGUGCCUGGAUUUCGGUAUCUGCUGGAACCAGUCCCACGCUAUACCAAGGGAUGACUGCACACCUAUUUCUGAUGACUGGAGAACUCCAAGGGGUUCGUCUUGACAAUACCAUUAACUUAAAAAUUCAAUAAAGAUUAACAAAUCGGUGGUACACUCUAA
rnacentral:lncRNA from 1 species